AGGAUAGUAGUUAAAAAUAACAUUUGAUUUGCAAUCAAAAAUUAUUAAAUCAUUCAUAAUAUUAAUCUAUCUUA
rnacentral:tRNA from 1 species